rnacentral:rRNA from 1 species
AGCCUGAUGCGCCGUGCCGCGUGUAUGAAGAAGGCCUUCGGGUUGUAAAGUACUUUCAGUUGUGAGGAAGGGGGUGUCGUUAAUAGCGGCAUCUCUUGACGUUAGCAACAGAAGAAGCACCGGCUAACUCCGUGCCAGCAGCCGCGGUAAUACGGAGGGUGCGAGCGUUAAUCGGAAUUACUGGGCGUAAAGCGCAUGCAGGUGGUUCAUUAAGUCAGAUGUGAAAGCCCGGGGCUCAACCUCGGAACUGCAUUUGAAACUGGUGAACUAGAGUACUGUAGAGGGGGGUAGAAUUUCAGGUGUAGCGGUGAAAUGCGUAGAGAUCUGAAGGAAUACCAGUGGCGAAGGCGGCCCCCUGGACAGAUACUGACACUCAGAUGCGAAAGCGUGGGGAGCAAACAGGAUUAGAUACCCUGGUAGUCCACGCCGUAAACGAUGUCUACUUGGAGGUUGUGGCCUUGAGCCGUGGCUUUCGGAGCUAACGCGUUAAGUAGACCGCCUGGGGAGUACGGUCGCAAGAUUAAAACUCAAAUGAAUUGACGGGGGCCCGCACAAGCGGUGGAGCAUGUGGUUUAAUUCGAUGCAACGCGAAGAACCUUACCUACUCUUGACAUCCAGAGAAGCCAGCGGAGACGCAGGUGUGCCUUCGGGAGCUCUGAGACAGGUGCUGCAUGGCUGUCGUCAGCUCGUGUUGUGAAAUGUUGGGUUAAGUCCCGCAACGAGCGCAACCCUUAUCCUUGUUUGCCAGCGAGUAAUGUCGGGAACUCCAGGGAGACUGCCGGUGAUAAACCGGAGGAAGGUGGGGACGACGUCAAGUCAUCAUGGCCCUUACGAGUAGGGCUACACACGUGCUACAAUGGCGCAUACAGAGGGCGGCGAACUUGCGAGAGUGAGCGAAUCCCAAAAAGUGCGUCGUAGUCCGGAUUGGAGUCUGCAACUCGACUCCAUGAAGUCGGAAUCGCUAGUAAUCGUAGAUCAGAAUGCUACGGUGAAUACGUUCCCGGGCCUUGUACACACCGCCCGUCACACCAUGGGAGUGGGCUGCAAAAGAAGUGGGUAGUUUAACCUUUCGGAGGACACUCACACCUUUUGG